rnacentral:rRNA from 1 species
CCAAUAGCGUAUAUUAAAGUUGUUGCAGUUAAAAAGCUCGUAGUUGAAUUUCGGGGUCAGUAGGUUGGUCAUGCCACUGGUAUGUACUGGUCUCACUGAUUCCUCCUUCCUGAUGAGCCGUAAUGCCAUUAAUUUGGUGUUGCGAGGAAUCUGGACUGUUACUUUGAAAAAAUUAGAGUGUUUAAAGCAAGCUAACGCUUGAAUACAUUAGCAUGGAAUAAUGAAAUAGGACGUUCGAUCCUAUUUUGUUGGUUUCUAGGAUUGACGUAAUGAUUAAUAGG